UACGGGAGGCGCAGUGGGGAAUAUUGCACAAUGGGCGCAAGCCUGAUGCAGCCAUGCCGCGUGUAUGAAGAAGGCCUUCGGGUUGUAAAGUACUUUCAGUCGUGAGGAAGGUGUUAAGGUUAAUAACCUUAGCAAUUGACGUUAGCGACAGAAGAAGCACCGGCUAACUCCGUGCCAGCAGCCGCGGUAAUACGGAGGGUGCGAGCGUUAAUCGGAAUUACUGGGCGUAAAGGGCACGCAGGCGGUUAAUUAAGUUGGAUGUGAAAUCCCCGGGCUUAACCUGGGAAUGGCAUUCAAGACUGGUUAGCUAGAGUCUUGUAGAGGGGGUAGAAUUCCAUGUGUAGCGGUGAAAUGCGUAGAGAUGUGGAGGAAUACCGGUGGCGAAGGCGGCCCCUGGACAAAGACUGACGCUCAUGUGCGAAAGCGUGGGGAGCAAAC
rnacentral:rRNA from 1 species